UGGGGAAUUUUGGACAAUGGGCGCAAGCCUGAUCCAGCAAUGCCGCGUGCAGGAUGAAGGCCUUCGGGUUGUAAACUGCUUUUGUACGGAACGAAAAGCUUCUGGUUAAUACCUGGGAGUCAUGACGGUACCGUAAGAAUAAGCACCGGCUAACUACGUGCCAGCAGCCGCGGUAAUACGUAGGGUGCGAGCGUUAAUCGGAAUUACUGGGCGUAAAGCGUGCGCAGGCGGUUAUGUAAGACAGGUGUGAAAUCCCCGGGCUUAACCUGGGAAUUGCAUUUGUGACUGCAUCGCUGGAGUGCGGCAGAGGGGGAUGGAAUUCCGCGUGUAGCAGUGAAAUGCGUAGAUAUGCGGAGGAACACCGAUGGCGAAGGCAAUCCCCUGGGCCUGCACUGACGCUCAUGCACGAAAGCGUGGGGAGCAAACA
rnacentral:rRNA from 1 species